GAUGAACGCUGGCGGCGUGCCUAAUACAUGCAAGUCGAGCGAACGGACGAGAAGCUUGCUUCUCUGAUGUUAGCGGCGGACGGGUGAGUAACACGUGGAUAACCUACCUAUAAGACUGGGAUAACUUCGGGAAACCGGAGCUAAUACCGGAUAAUAUUUUGAACCGCAUGGUUGAAAAGUGAAAGACGGUCUUGCUGUCACUUAUAGAUGGAUCCGCGCUGCAUUAGCUAGUUGGUAAGGUAACGGCUUACCAAGGCAACGAUGCAUAGCCGACCUGAGAGGGGGAUCGGCCACACUGGAACGGAGACACGGUCCAGACGCCUACGGGACGCAGCAGUAGGGAAUGUGACGCAAUGGGCGAAAGCCUGACGGAGCAACGCCGCGUGAGUGAUGAAGGUCUUCGGAUCGUAAUACUCUGUUAUGAGGGAAGAACAGAUGUGUAAGUAACUGUGCACAGCUUGACGGUACCUAAUCAGAAAGCCACGGCUAACUACGUG
rnacentral:rRNA from 1 species